GGCCUCGUAGCUCAGUUGGCUAGAGCGUUGGCUGUAUUAAAGCCUUUCCCUUACUGGCGUGGUUUUGAAUCCCACCGAGGCCG
rnacentral:tRNA from 1 species